CAGCAGCCACGGUAAUACAGAGGGUGCGAGCGUUAAUCGGAUUUACUGGGCGUAAAGCGUGCGUAGGCGGCUUUUUAAGUCGGAUGUGAAAUCCCUGAGCUUAACUUAGGAAUUGCAUUCGAUACUGGGAAGCUAGAGUAUGGGAGAGGAUGGUAGAAUUCCAGGUGUAGCGGUGAAAUGCGUAGAGAUCUGGAGGAAUACCGAUGGCGAAGGCAGCCAUCUGGCCUAAUACUGACGCUGAGGUACGAAAGCAUGGGGAGCAAACAGGAUUAGAGACCCCCGUAGUCCCUGUCUCUUAUAC
rnacentral:rRNA from 1 species